rnacentral:rRNA from 1 species
AAGAACGUAGCGAAAUGCGAUACCUGGUGUGAAUUGCAGAAUCCCGCGAACCAUCGAGUCUUUGAACGCAAGUUGCGCCCGAGGCCACCCGGCUGAGGGCACGCCUGCCUGGGCGUCACGC